ACGCUCGACACCUACGGGAGGCAGCAGUUGGGAAUAUUGGACAAUGGAGGAAACUCUGAUCCAGUGACGCCGCGUGAAGGAAGAAGGUCUUCGGAUUGUAAACUUAUUUUGUCAGGGAAGAAAAAAUGACUGUACCUGAAGAAAAAGCACCGGCUAACUACGUGCCAACAGCCGCGGUAAUCUGAGGCGGGCUGGCAAGGC
rnacentral:rRNA from 1 species